UACAGAGGUCUCAAGCGUUGUUCGGAAUUACUGGGCGUAAAGCGUGCGCAGGCGGCUUCUCAAGUCAGUGGUGAAAGCCCGGAGCUCAACUCCGGAAUUGCCAUUGAAACUGUGGAGCUUGAGGACGAGAGAGGUGAGUGGAAUUCCCAGUGUAGAGGUGAAAUUCGUAGAUAUUGGGAAGAACACCGGUGGCGAAGGCGGCUCACUGGCUCGUUUCUGACGCUCAGGCACGAUAGCGUGGGGAUCAAACAGG
rnacentral:rRNA from 1 species